rnacentral:rRNA from 1 species
AGUCGAACGAAGCACUUUAAUUGAUUUCUUCGGAAUGAAGUUUUUGUGACUGAGUGGCGGACGGGUGAGUAACGCGUGGGUAACCUGCCUCAUACAGGGGGAUAACAGUUGGAAACGACUGCUAAUACCGCAUAAGCGCACGGGAUUGCAUGAUCCAGUGUGAAAAACUCCGGUGGUAUGAGAUGGACCCGCGUCUGAUUAGCCAGUUGGCGGGGUAACGGCCCACCAAAGCGACGAUCAGUAGCCGACCUGAGAGGGUGACCGGCCACAUUGGGACUGAGACACGGCCCAAACUCCUACGGGAGGCAGCAGUGGGGAAUAUUGCACAAUGGGGGAAACCCUGAUGCAGCGACGCCGCGUGAGCGAAGAAGUAUUUCGGUAUGUAAAGCUCUAUCAGCAGGGAAGAAGAAUGACGGUACCUGACUAAGAAGCACCGGCUAAAUACGUGCCAGCAGCCGCGGUAAUACGUAUGGUGCAAGCGUUAUCCGGAUUUACUGGGUGUAAAGGGAGCGCAGGCGGUACGGCAAGUCUGAUGUGAAAUCCCGGGGCUCAACCCCGGUACUGCAUUGGAAACUGUCGGACUAGAGUGUCGGAGGGGUAAGUGGAAUUCCUAGUGUAGCGGUGAAAUGCGUAGAUAUUAGGAGGAACACCAGUGGCGAAGGCGGCUUACUGGACGAUUACUGACGCUGAGGCUCGAAAGCGUGGGGAGCAA